GCCUCGGUGGUUUAGUGGUCAAGGCGCUCGCCUGGUAAACAGGGCGUGGGUUCAAUCCCAGCCGAGGUA
rnacentral:tRNA from 1 species